AGAACAACCAAAUCCUACUGCAAUUAUCUGAGCUAACCAUGAGGUCUAAUCACCUAGAUUCCCCAUGUCAUGGAUUCCUUAGGUAUCCUAGGUCCAGGAUGUAGCUUGAUUGCUCCUUUCCAAGCCAAGCUAUGUAUCAAUAAGAUGCCCUCUUCUUCAUACCCCUACCUCAUUGGUGUGGCCUUAGACUUGGUCCUGACUAAAUCUGGAGUAUGCACAUUUGCCAUUUUAGCCUUUUGUCUCUAUAGGGAAAGUUUGUGGAAUUCUCUCUCUCUCUCUCUUUUUUUUUUGGUGCAAUGGACAAUUUUAAUGAACUACAGAGUAGACCCUGAGGUAGGAGAGAGGGGACUUACACCUCUGCUCUCAACGUGGAGAAGGUAGGACUUGAAGCACAGAUCCUACACAGAAGAGGGAGGGGCCUAUAGACGCAGUGAGAAUAAUGACAUUAUUAUCUCCUAGAGGCCAAAGAACUUGCCCAGACUUAUGGCAGAAGAUGCAGGGGAUGGCUCAGUAUUCUGGGUAAAAUAAAGAAGAUGGAGCCAAGAUGGGAACAAACCACACAUGAGUGCUGAGAGAGAGAAUAGAGCGGAUUGGAGAAGAACUGAGUCCUCCGAGUUGUUCCAGAAGAGAAAGUUCAACAGGCAGAGUGCAUCUUGGGGAAGAGAUGCCUUAUUAGUAGGUAUGAUUCGCCCUCAAAUCAGUUUUGCUAAGAAGAUGACAUAUUCUUGCUCAAUAACGGGAAAGCUAGUGUUCCUGUAUUUAGGAGUGCUUGGGCACUCGGCUGCCUGGAGUUCCAGACAUAGUCUAGAACCUUAAAUACCCCCCCCCCCCACAUACACACACACACAGUCUCCAGGCUCUGAGUUCCCUUCAACCACCCAGGGAAGCAGGUCACCUGGUUUUCCUUCAGUUUCUUCUGCAGCUGAAGAGCCAGGGCCUGCUCGUCCUCAAUUUUACUGUUCU
rnacentral:lncRNA from 1 species